rnacentral:rRNA from 1 species
AGAGUUUGAUCAUGGCUCAGAACGAACGCUGGCGGCGUGCUUAACACAUGCAAGUCGCGUGCGCAGUUGCCGUAGCAAUACGGUGAUGGGCGCACGGCGCACGGGUGCGUAACACGUGGGCAAUCUGCCCUCCGAUGGGGAAUAACCCCGCGAAAGCGGGGCUAAUACCGCAUAACAUUCCUUGGACUACCGUUCGAGGAUUCAAAGCAGUGAUGCGUCGGAGGAGGAGCCCGCGCCCGAUUAGCUAGUUGGUAGGGUAACGGCCUACCAAGGCAAUGAUCGGUAGCUGGUCUGAGAGGAUGAUCAGCCACACUGGAACUGAGACACGGUCCAGACUCCUACGGGAGGCAGCAGUGGGGAAUCUUGCACAAUGGGCGAAAGCCUGAUGCAGCGACGCCGCGUGGGGGAUGAAGCUUCUCGGAGUGUAAACCCCUUUCGACUGGGACGAAUGCCCGCAAGGGAGUGACGGUACCAGUAGAAGAAGCCCCGGCUAACUACGUGCCAGCAGCCGCGGUAAGACGUAGGGGGCCAGCGUUGUUCGGAAUUACUGGGUGUAAAGGGUUCGUAGGCGGUGUGGCAAGUCGGGAGUGAAAUCUCUGGGCUCAACCCGGAGGCUGCUUCCGAAACUGCUGUGCUCGAGUGUGGGAGAGGCGCGUGGAAUUGCAGGUGUAGCGGUGAAAUGCGUAGAUAUCUGCAGGAACACCCGUGGCGAAAGCGGCGCGCUGGACCACUACUGACGCUGAGGAACGAAAGCUAGGGGAGCAAACAGGAUUAGAUACCCUGGUAGUCCUAGCCCUAAACGAUCAGGACUUGGGGUGCCACCCGUUCGGGUGUCGUCCCGGAGCUAACGCGUUAAGUCCUGCACCUGGGGAGUACGGUCGCAAGACUGAAACUCAAAGGAAUUGACGGGGGCCCGCACAAGCGGUGGAACAUGUGGUUCAAU